rnacentral:lncRNA from 1 species
UAACAGUCUUAAUACCAUUGUACUCCCAUUGUACUCUUCUGGGAACAGUGUUCUUUUCAUUCAGUCAAUUCAAGAGAUUCAUUCAUUUAGAAAUCCGAAUGCAAUUGGUUCAAUUAUUUUCCAUAAGGGAUUUUAGAAUCACAGAUUAUAAUAUUUUUUAAUUUUUUUUUGUCCUGAAUUGACUGAGUUGAAAUGGAACAGGGCCCAAUCCUGACUGUUGUGUUUGUGUCUAGACUGUUCUCAAGUGUCACAUAUCAGCCUGAUCACAGAUCUGUGUGUGUUUCAGCCGACUAAGCAUGUAUGCAAUGACAACAAUAGCCAGAGGAGUCGAGCUAAACAUGCGCAUACAGAUCUGGGACCAGGCUAGAUCGAUAUGUCAGUGAAGGAGUGCUAUAACUUGAAGUGUUGGACAGUAGGGAUGGAGGGGCCACACAUUCAUCUGUGUGAGUCCAAGAUUAACGUUGUGUUUUUUUACUUGGUCCACUCCCCUCUGGAGUAGGGUUGACCGUCAAUUGUUGGUAAAGUGCAUUUGUAAUGUUAUGUUUUCGAUACAGUAUGUAUGUCCCUACCACUAUGACUGUGUUUUUGUGUACAUUGUGUGUGUGACUGACUCUAGUUUUUGUUUGUUCACUUCAAAUCAAGCCCCGCUACCAGCAAAGUCAUUACUAUGGUGUGUUAGAAUAUGUGUUUGUGUGCAUUAUUUAUGUGUUUGUGUUAGUGUGUAUGUGUUGGGGUAAAUGUGGUGUGAAUAUGGGUGUACUGUAUGUACCUGGAUACGAGAGUGAGAGAAAGUUAAGGUGAAUUAAUGAAAAUAUCUUUGAAUAUGAUGCAUUUUGGAUGUUGUGUACAUGGUUACUGGUGGACAUUUAGCUUGUGUAGGAGUGAAGGUGAUAGGUGUUAUGUUUCAGUAUGAAUCUGGUAAGUGUGUGGUGUGCUCACUCUAGACUGAGUGGUCACCUUGCCCGUUUGACCAAACUUUAUGUAUUGUAGAAAUAAUAUCAAUUGACCAUUAUAUUUUCAUUUUCCAGUGCACACCAAAAAUAUGAUCAAUAUUCUUGUAUUAAAAUGGAAAACUUGUUUAUAAAA